rnacentral:rRNA from 1 species
AUACGUAGGUGGCAAGCGUUAUCCGGAUUUACUGGGUGUAAAGGGCGCGUAGGCGGGGGUGCAAGUCAGAUGUGAAAUCUAUGGGCUUAACUCAUAAACUGCAUUUGAAACUGUAUCUCUUGAGUGCUGGAGAGGUAGACGGAAUUCCUUGUGUAGCGGUGAAAUGCGUAGAUAUAAGGAAGAACACCAGUGGCGAAGGCGGUCUACUGGACAGUAACUGACGCUGAGGCGCGAAAGCGUGGGGAGCAAACAGGAUUAGAUACCCUGGUAGUCCACGCUGUAAACGAUGAAUACUAGGUGUGGGGGGACUGACCCCCUCCGUGCCGCAGUUAACACAAUAAGUAUUCCGCCUGGGGAGUACGGCCGCAAGGUUGAAACUCAAAUGAAUUGGCGGGG